CGGAUGUCCGGACAACCAAAUGGAAAGAUAACUGUAAUCUGAGGCCGGAUCUGUUACAUCUUACAAUGGUAUCAAACUCGGAACAGUCCCUUUAAAAACAUUAUUACUAUUAUUUUUAAAUAUGUUACAAUGGUUUCAAACUCGGGCCAAUGCCUUUAAAAAUAUUUAUUACUAUUGUUUUGAAAUAUGUUGCAAUGGUUUCAAACAGGAUAGCCCCUUUAAGGUCACCGAAGUACAUUUAUUUUCUCACACAAACAUGUUUUGAUCGUUAAUGGGUGACACGCGGUAACAGGGAGAGGAUAUACGUAGUUGUUUAAUUAACAUUCUUCCUUUGGUCGAAUCAAACGAGCCCAGUAAGCAGAAUGAUUGGCGAAGGAAAUUAAAUCAUUGGAUGAUGACUCGGCAUAAAGACAAAACGAAACGCAAGUUCAAACAGUAGAUUGGGGAAAAUUCGAGCGAAGAUGUUUGGCGAACAUAUUGUGUGCAGCGUCUUAUUCAUCAUGGUUUUAAUGCCAUACAAGACAGCGAGUCAAGGUGGUACUAUCGACGAGCUGAUAACACAAGCGGCAAACUCCAGUCAUCAGUUCGACUUCCUGAUGAAUGAAAGAAGUAACAGCGUAACAGUCGAGAUGGACAUGGUCUACACUAUAGAUGAAUGGAUCGCCAUAGUGGAAGCG